UCAGUUAAAUCAGUAAUAGAAGUUCAUUUGGUAAACAAGUUCAGAUAGUUCAGCCAAGUAUAACUGACUACCGAAAAUUCUCCUUGUGUGAUCGACAGGGUAUAAUAACAAGUAGGCAAUUGCCCGCUCGUCUUUGGGCAAGAUUUGUGAGGCGACGUUGGUUCCAACAGAGAACACUGGAAAAUUAAUUUUCCAUUGACGUUAGAUGCCAAGAGCGAAGAGGAAUAUAAGAGGGAAAGGACAUAAAAAUGGGGGACAUAAGGUUCUCGCAUUCUAGUUCACCCAUUCCUGAACGCGAGGGUGCCCUUCGCACAGAAGAGCUACACCCGCUGUCGUCAAGGGCCGUUUCGCUCGUUAACUACGAUAGUUAUACAUAUUCUACUAAGUUUGUUGUGGAGGGAUCGGAGAUAAAUAAAACGGAAUAAUAAAUGUGUGACAAAAUAAGUUAAUAAAUAUAGCAACUUGAUGAAAUUAAAUAAACUGAUAAAUUAAA